CCAACUCUGCACUACUUGGAAGGCCAAGGGCCAUCUUUUGCCUCACCUGACUCACUGGAUUCUGCGACAGCAGCUGACCCGGGUCCUUGAAGGCUUCCCGCGCCACCCCCCCACCCCAUCACCAGGAGAGGCCACCCUGGCUGAGGCUCCGGGUCUGCGAGCUGCCUCAUGUAACAGGGCCUCCUUAUACAUUUGUCAUCACCAGAAAUGGAAGUCACAGGCCAGUCUCAAAUAACACACCAGUAACAGGUUCCAGAGUUGGACACGAGGGCACACCAGGGAAGGCCCCGGGCGAGGAUGCCGUCUUGCAGGAAAGUGCUGGAACCAGACGCACGCGUUGCUGCCAGGGCAGGGUCUGCUUCCAAGGAUCCAUACGGCUAAUGGUAUGUGGAUCUGAGGUGAAUGCAAGCCACAGACAAUCCCCGAAUUGUGGUCUCUUUUCACAGUAACCAUCCUCUUCUAUGCCUGCUUUUAACAUUUUGGCUACAAGUUCCUCUUUCUUAUUGCCUCAGAUCUAUUUUGGAGGAGUGGGGAAAACAAAGCGAAUUGAGAGACACCGUGUCGGUCUUCAUCUGGGAGACACGCAGUGGCACAGUGUGGCCUCUAGACAAAUUCAGACCAGGGCUCUAGUUCUGGGUCCGUCACUUCAAAGCCAGGUAAACUGGAGAAAAUGGCUAGUUCAUCAUCUGCAAAGUGAGUCCGAUGUGUCCUCUCUGGUAGGAUUGUUGGAAUAUGUGCAGUGUUGGCAAAGCAUCUGAAACAGUGAUCUUCUAAAGAGUGGCAUUUCUUACUAUGAUGAUUAGGACCCCAGACAAUAAUACCAAUUCCUCUGGGA